AACGAACGCUGGCGGCAGGCCUAACACAUGCAAGUCGAGCGCCCCGCAAGGGGAGCGGCGGACGGGUGAGUAACGCGUGGGAACGUGCCCUUUGCUACGGAAUAGCCCCGGGAAACUGGGAGUAAUACCGUAUAAGCCCUACGGGGGAAAGAUUUAUCGGCAAAGGAUCGGCCCGCGGUGGAUUAGGUAGUUGGUGGGGUAAUGGCCUACCAAGCCGACGAUCCAUAGCUGGUUGGAGAGGAUGAUCAGCCACACUGGGACUGAGACACGGCCCAGACUCCUACGGGAGGCAGCAGUGGGGAAUCUUAGACAAUGGGCGCAAGCCUGAUCUAGCCAUGCCGCGUGAGCGAUGAAGGCCUUAGGGUUGUAAAGCUCUUUCGUGGGGGAAGAUAAUAACUGUACCCCAAGAAGAAGCCCCGGCUAACUCCGUGCCAGCCGCCGCCGUAACAC
rnacentral:rRNA from 1 species